UACGGGGGGGGCAAGCGUUGUUCGGAAUUACUGGGCGUAAAGGGCUCGUAGGCGGCCAACUAAGUCGGAUGUGAAAUCCCCAGGCUUAACCUGGGAACUGCAUCCGAUACUGGAUGGCUUGAAUCCGGGAGAGGGAUGCAGAAUUCCAGGUGUAGCGGUGAAAUGCGUAGAUAUCUGGAGGAACACCGGUGGCGAAGGCGGCAUCCUGGACCGGCACUGACGCUGAGGAGCGAAAGCCAGGGGAGCAAACGGG
rnacentral:rRNA from 1 species